rnacentral:lncRNA from 1 species
ACCGUCCAUUUGACUUCACACGGAUCACCAUAUGCUUUCUCUCUCAAUGCUCACACAUCUCACAAAACAACAUCAGAUCUUCUUCUCUCUCUCUUCUCUCUCUCUUCUCGGCGAUCUAGGGUUUCAUGAGAUCUAUCACCAGAUCCGUUUGAAUCUAUCACCAGAUCCGUUUCAUGAGCAGAUCUAGGGUUUCAUGAGAUCUAUCACAAGCUUUAUCUGGCAAGGGAUCCGUUUGAUGUUCUGAUGUUGUUGCAAUGAGUGUUAUAUAUCUUACCAUGUUCUUUUGUGAUUCUUACUUUUCUGGUGAAGCGGUUGACGGAUGUUCGAACGACGAAAUCUGAGGUUUACGAAGGAUUUUCGCAUGUGUUUUGUGAUGAAUCGACUCAGAUCUAGGGUUUCAUGAGAUGUAUCACGAGCUUUAUCUGGCAAGGGAUCCACAGAUUUGAACAAGGGAUCCGUUUGAUGUGGAUUUGUUAGUAGAUGCGGUUAUUUCCUACAUCCGAUGUUUUAGUUAGGAUUUACCUUUUUAAUUUUUUUUAUGUUUACUUGUUUGUUUAUAUGUCACAUGCAGAUUAGUAAGACAAAGGUGUUUCUAAGGGCCGGACAGAUGGCAGAGUUUGAUGGUUGUCGGACUAAGGUCCUAAGUUAUACGACCUAGAUGGCUUGGAUAAGCUGAGCCUGUGAGGGUAUGAUGCAUAAGCUGAGCCUAUGAGGCUAUGAUGCAUAAGCUGAGCCUGUCGACUCUAUGAUGCAUAAGCUAAGCUUGUGUUCUUAAUAUGUCUGAACUGAAACUGUUAAGGCUAUGAUGCAUAAGCUGAGCCUGCGGGGUUACAUAACACAAUAGACUGUGAUGAUGAUUGUAUUUUGAGGGUACAUAGAAGAUCCGAGUAGCAUCUUGGCGGGGCAAUAUCCAGGUUGCAUAGUUCUCACUUUGCAACCGUGUGUUGCAGCCAUGGCUUUACCCGUAGUUGUGUUCAUCUCUCAAUUACAUGUCUGAGUCUUCCAGUUGUAAAAGUAUUAUCACAGAUUCACAGAUCUAAAAGUACAUGUCUGAAAGACAGAUGUUGAUUUAUCUUUAAUCUUGAUGUGGAUUUGUUAGUAGAUGCGGUUAUUUCAAAUUAGGUUGAAAGUUUUGUGAUAUUUGAAUUUGUAUUUUUGGUGAUGAUAGUUAGGUUAAUUUCAGAUAUGACAUAGUGAAAGGAUAAAUUGUUUUUGUAGUUUUGAUUUUACUUUAUUCUGUUAUAUUUUGAUCUUUUCCUUCAUUUUUGGGACUGAUAAGUGUCAUGGUUUUGUGAAAAUCUGAGGUUUACGAAGGAUUUUCGCAUGUGUUUUGUGAUGAAUCGACUCAGGUUAGGUUCUAAAUGUUGAUUUAUCUUUAAUCUUGAUGUGGAUUUGUUAGUAGAUGCGGUUAUUUCAAAUUAGGUUGAAAGUUUUGUGAUAUUUGAAUUUGUAUUUUUGGUGAUGAUAGUUAGGUUAAUUUCAGAUAUG